GAGGAGAAAGAGCGGGUCCUAAGGGGGACCCGGGAGGCAGCCAAGGCUGCCGAUGACAGGCGUGAUUUGAUAGCUCUCACUAACCCCACCCAAUGGAAUCCGAAUGAUUCAACCCACCAGGCGAACUUAAAGAAAUUUUUAACCCAUGUUUUGACAGGUAUAAAACAAGCAGGAGAAAGAACUCUAGAUUGGUCAAAAGUCCAUAAUACUGUGCAGGGGAAGAAAGAACACCCUUCUGACUUUUAUGAGAGACUUUGUAAAGCAUUUUGUACUUUUACUAAUAUAGAUCCCAAGGCUGCGGACAUACAGUCCACGGUCAGGCUUAUUUUUAUCUCUCAGUCAGCUCCGGACAUUAAGAAGUGGUUGCAGCAGCUCGAAGGCGCUGAGGGAAAAUCCCUGGAGGAACUGGUAAGCGUAGCCACCCGUGUGUAUCACACAAGAGAUAAAAUUCAAGAGACCAAACAGUUGAUAAAAUCAUUCUUCGGUUGCCUCAAAAUCAACUCCCCCAGCUAUGUGCCGCAUUAACCCAAGCUACCGAGGACCCGAUCCUGCCUGCAAGCCCGAUGGACCUGCCUGAACAACUCAGACGAGAGGUACACGCCUCCCUCUGGGGCGCUUCCAAAACAAACCUUGGCACUCUCCGGACAGAGCCUGUGCAAAUAACCCUGAAGCCAGACAAUAUCCCAUCCUCCAAAAAGCUCUGCUUGGCCUCCGGAAUCUUAUCAACACAUUCCUACGGUUGGGAGUGCUUAUUCGUACUUCAUCCCCUUUCAACACCCCCAUUCUGCCUGUUAGAAAACCUGACCUGGAUCCAGAAGGAAAACCGGUAUACCGAUUUGUGCAGGACUUGAGUGCAGUGAAUAAAGUUGUUCAGGCUAGGCACAAUGUGAUACCUAAUCCUCACACAAUUCUGACUGCCAUUCCAGCAGGUACUGCUUGUUAUUCAGUAAUAGACCUGUGUAAUGCCUUUUUUAGUAUUCCUCUAGAUCAAGACAGCUGGGAUGUCUUCGCAUUUACAUGGACGGACCCAGAGACCGGGAGAGCAAAAUAACUGACCUGGACUUGGCUACCACAGGGAUAUGUUCGAGUGCGAGAGCGUAACACUUGGAUUCAUUACACCCGAGUCAAGCCCCUAGGCCGGGGCCAGAAGCAGACGACUUCAGACCUUGAGGGAGCCCCGCCAGCUCUUCCCACCGCGACCCGGGAGAGCCUGAAGCAGACGAUACCUGGAAGGCUGAGCCUCUC